rnacentral:lncRNA from 1 species
AUUUGAGGGCUGGGGGAGUAGUUCAAUGGUAGAGAGCUUGCCAAGUAUAUGUUGAGGCCUUGUAUUCAAUCCCCAGUACUGGGGGAUGAGAGUUCCAGCUUAGAACUGAGGAUCCAUUCUGUUAUUGAGCACCCAUUUUUCUCGUGUCUGAAGUUCUCUAUAUUUUUGUGUCUGGGCCUUAUUGUGCUCCAAGUCCCCAAUAAGAAACACUUACCUAUGGAGAGAAUUCAAAUCUACUCCUUUAUUUAGUAUCCUAACCAAUACCUUUUAUUGAGCAUGAUUGUGCACAGAGAUCAGGGGAUUGGAUGAUGAUGUCUAUCCAGUUACUGACUUCAGGUGCCGACAGGUCAGCAAGGGGAAAACACAUCCACAGAUAACACAGGUCAUCCAGAAGUGAGAAUAUGGUUGAGCACUGAUGGCUGAAUUCUUGGUAAGAAUGGGGAUGUCUAAAGGAAAGAUGCAGAACACCCUAACUGGGCAUUUUUUAGGAGGGGUACUGGAGAUUGAACUUAGGGGCACUUGACCACUGAACCAUACCCUCAGCCCUAUUUUAUAUUUUAUUUAGAGACAGGGUCUCACUGAAAUUGCUUAGUGCCUUGCUUUUUCUGAGGCUGGCUUUGAACUCUCAAUCCUCCUGCCUCAGCCUAUUGAGCCUCUGAGAUUACAGGCAUGCGCCGCCGUGUGGGGCAUACUGGGCAUUUUGAGCUCUCAAUAUGAGUUUAAUAAAGGAACUAUUGAUAGGUAGAGUUGUGGUGUGGGAGAACCAUGAGGAUAUGUAACACCAAAGGAUUAGCAAAGGUGGUGGGUAGCUGUCAGCCCUAAGCUGAAGGUGCACAGGACAGGUAAGAUUAGGAUGUAUGGGUGGGGGGCCAUUGACAGGCAUUGGGGCCUACAGGGGAAGAGCAUGAUCAGUCCACAGCAAUCAAAUGGAGAAGGACUGGGGAAAAAUAAGGGACCUCACUUCCCUCCCCCACUCCCUCCCAUCUCUGGCCAGGUUCCUCAUUAGUGGAAUCUCACCAGAAGCCAAGGACAAGGGAACUUGUUGCUACAGCCAAUAGGGGUCAGUUUCCUGGGCACAGGACUGGAUGGAGGGUGGAGAUCUGGAGAGUCAACAUGGGGUCAGGGCUGACUUUACAGAGGAAAUGACUUAGAAACUCCUUGUGCUUUCCUUAUCAUUCAGUUCUAAAUAUUUCACAAAUUUCAUUGUAAUUUCCUCUCUCUUAACUCUUGGAUGAUUUAGAAGUGUGUUUUUAGUUUCUCACCCUAUGAGAGGUUUAUGUUUUUCUUGUUGACUUCUACUUAUAUUGCAUUGUGGUCAGAGAUCAUGGUCUGUGAGAUCCUUUGGAAUUUGAUGUGACUUCUUUUGUGGCUUCGUACAUGGUAAUUUUCUGUGCCUCUGAGUUGGGUUUUAUAGGAUGGGCAGGAAUUUGGUGAAGAGUGAAAAGCACAGAAUCUCACACUGUGGGAAAUAGGUGGCCCAUUUAGAAGGAACUUCAGAAGUUUCAAAUUCAUCUGCACAGUUCUGGGUGUGUGUGGGAAGGGAGGCAGGUAGGAGUGGGGUCAGAGAUAGCCCAGAUCCUUCAAACACCUGCCCCCUUUCUGUUGCUCUCAGUUUGGGCUAAAGAGACUGUGUGUUCUCCCAGGAGGCCU